rnacentral:rRNA from 1 species
AUUGAACGCUGGCGGCAUGCCUUACACAUGCAAGUCGAACGGCAGCACGGGAGCUUGCUCCUGGUGGCGAGUGGCGAACGGGUGAGUAAUACAUCGGAACGUACCCUGAAGUGGGGGAUAACGUAGCGAAAGUUACGCUAAUACCGCAUAUUCUGUGAGCAGGAAAGAGGGGGAUCGCAAGACCUCUUGCUUUAGGAGCGGCCGAUGUCGGAUUAGCUAGUUGGUGAGGUAAAGGCUCACCAAGGCGACGAUCCGUAGCGGGUCUGAGAGGAUGAUCCGCCACACUGGGACUGAGACACGGCCCAGACUCCUACGGGAGGCAGCAGUGGGGGAAUAUUGGUCAAUGGGCGGAAGCCUGAACCAGCCAUGCCGCGUGCAGGAAGACGGCCCUACGGGUUGUAAACUGCUUUUCCGGGGGAAGAAUAAGGGCGACGGUGUCGCCCGAUGCCGGUACCCC